GGAGGAGAAGGCGACAGACUGUGGAAGGGAAGAUAUGGGGGAUGGGAGCAACAUUGCCCCUGUCCCUUUCUCUGAAUCAUCUUGUAGUCUGUAAGCCUCUCAGGACAUCUCAGAGUUCUGGAGAAGGUGGAGGCAGCUCAGAAGGACUCUCCAUCAGGAGUUUGGGGCAGAGGUACCUACCGAGUGUGGCCAAAGGCAUUUCUCAGUAAGUCAUCAGAGGGGGCAGAAUUCCUUAUGAGGAAUCUAGCGCAGCUGGCAUCACGAACACAGUGGGCACAAGCAGAUGGGCAAAGAUAAGCGUGUGAUGCUGGGCUGAGUAUUAGAUGGUGACCACAGAACAUAGUCUUGUGAAAUCCAGGGAGGAGAUGGUCAAGGUCAACAUGCAAGAGGCUGACACUGUUAUUUCCAGCCUGAGUGCUUGGCCCUACUAUCAGGCUGUGGGCUCUGUAACCCAUGGCAACAAGAGAAGAGAAGCAGCUACCUCAGUUGUUCCAAGGCACGUUCCUGAACGCUUAUUGCAGGAUGCCAUGGCCAUUUCCUCAUUCUGUGCAGCUAUUUUUAUUAGGUGUGAACAAUGUGCACGCUGGUGAGGAAAGGGUUAACACUCAGCUGUGCUGUUGAUGUGCCCUUAGUCACAAUAUGUUUCCUUUGAUGCAAGGGUACAGUGUUUCAAAAGACAAUCACUGUAAUUCUAUGCAGAUUUUUCCUGAUGAAUGAAUAGGAAUUUUUCAAUUGAAUCUUUAAAUGCCUUAGAACAAUGUAAGAGAUGGAUUUAAUCCUUAAAAUUUUUUAUUAAAAGGCAUUUCAAAUUUGAAAAACAGGCAUUAUAUACAUAUCUGAUUUAUUACCAUAUAUGUGUUUUGAGUCAUAACGUUGUUGUAGAAGUUACAUAAUGCUUUCACAAAAAAAAUGAUAUGGUCUCUUUGUGACGCUAAGUGAAAUAAAAUAUAAAGUUUGUGAUAUAUUAAAUCA
rnacentral:lncRNA from 1 species